AAGAAGAGCUGGCCUGCUGGAAGGAGGAUGUGCCCCAGUUCGAUCCGAAUUCAUAAACAGUUCAUCGUCGAGCAGCCCAAGGCAGAGGCAAACCAUUGCCCCACUUGCGUUGUCCGUGUCGGCGCCCUUGGAGAAGGCUUUGGUUCGAAAUCUGCAGCCUUGUGCAUGAUCUGUGUAAGGUGCACCUCGCUGCGUUCUCCGAUAAAUUUGUGAUUUUUGUCUUCCCUGCAAUUGUUGCUGCGGAGAAAGGUUCGAGCUUGUUUGAACCUGACCGUUGCUGGGUUGGAGUGUUUUGUUACGUUGUUGAAGGAUAACCAGGAAGAGGACAUCCAGGUUAGCAGGCAGACCUCUAGCAGUAGCCUGGUGCACCAAGAAGAAGACCCAUAUGUACGCAUGCUGCAGCCUUGGUCGUGCCUGCCAGGCGAGAUCUCAGAUCCGAGAGAAUUUUUGUAAUCCAUGUUUUGUUGUAAUGGUUAACCAUCAGUGUCUGUCCAAGAACCUAAACUUAUUUGAUGCAGUGUGUGUGUGGAUCUGCUGGCUUUACCUUCGACGUGCUCGCUAUGCUGGUCGAGUUUGAGUCUUAAAAUGCUUAGAUAUGCUGGCCUGUGCAAAUUUGUUUCUCACCGUUUUGCUGUGUGAUGUGGAUGUUUCAG